rnacentral:rRNA from 1 species
AGUGAACGCUGGCGGUAUGCCUAACACAUGCAAGUCGAACGGCAGCACAGUAAGAGCUUGCUCUUACGGGUGGCGAGUGGCGGACGGGUGAGGAAUACAUCGGAAUCUACUUUUUCGUGGGGGAUAACGUAGGGAAACUUACGCUAAUACCGCAUACGACCUACGGGUUAAAGCAGUGGAUCUUCGGACCUUGCGCGAUUCAAUUAGCCGAUGUCGGAUUAGCUAGUUGGCGGGGUAAAGGCCCACCAAGGCGACGAUCCGUAGCUGGUCUGAGAGGAUGAUCAGCCACACUGGAACUGAGACACGGUCCAGACUCCUACGGGAGGCAGCAGUGGGGAAUAUUGGACAAUGGGCGAAAGCCUGAUCCAGCAAUACCGCGUGGGUGAAGAAGGCCUUCGGGUUGUAAAGCCCUUUUGUUGGGAAAGAAAAGCAGCAGGUUAAUACCCCGCUGUUCUGACGGUACCCAAAGAAUAAGCACCGGCUAACUUCGUG